GUGUCAGCAGCCGCGGUAAUACGUAGGGAGCGAGCGUUGUCCGGAAUUACUGGGUGUAAAGGGAGCGUAGGCGGGACAGCAAGUUGGAUGUUUAACAUAUCGGCUCAACCGAUAUCUGCAUCCAAAACUGCAGUUCUUGAGUGAAGUAGAGGCAGGCGGAAUUCCUAGUGUAGCGGUGAAAUGCGUAGAUAUUAGGAGGAACACCAGUGGCGAAGGCGGUCUGCUGGGCUUUAACUGACGCUGAGGCUCGAAAGCGUGGGGAGCAAACAGGAUUAGAUACCCUGGUAGUCCACGCUGUAAACGAUGAUUACUAGGUGUGGGGGGACUGACCCCUUCCGUGCCGCAGUUAACACAAUAAGUAAUCCACCUGGGGAGUACGGCCGCAAGGCUGAA
rnacentral:rRNA from 1 species